GACGUAGGGCGCGAGCGUUGUCCGGAUUUAUUGGGCGUAAAGAGCUCGUAGGCGGUCUGUCGCGUCGGUCGUGAAAACUUGGGGCUUAACCCUGAGCUUGCGGUCGAUACGGGCAUGACUGGAGUUCGGCAGGGGAGACUGGAAUUCCUGGUGUAGCGGUGAAAUGCGCAGAUAUCAGGAGGAACACCGGUGGCGAAGGCGGAUCUCUGGGCCAUUACUGACGCUGAGGAGCGAAAGCGUGGGGAGCGAACAGG
rnacentral:rRNA from 1 species